rnacentral:tRNA from 1 species
GCCAGAGUAGCUCAGUGGUAGAGCAGGGGACUCAUAAGCCCUUGGUCGGCGGUUCAAAUCCGUCCUCUGGCACCA